rnacentral:ncRNA from 2 species
CUCUUAUCGAGAGUUGGGCGAGGGAUUGGCCUUUUGACCCCAACAGCAACCGACCGUAAUGCCAUUGUGAAAUGGGGCGCACAGAUUUUGCGCCGAGACGUUAGUCUCAUUAAGGCACGGUGCUAAUUCCAUCAGAUUUAUCUGAGAGAUAAGAG